rnacentral:lncRNA from 1 species
CCUCUGCAGUCGUAUAAAGCUGCACCCUGCGGAGCAUCUGGUUUAACUUGGCUUUUGUCAUUUACCAUACCCUGAACCAAAUGAGGGGUAUACUGUAUUACCCCUGACUGUCUGUCUGUCAGACCAUUUUUCUGUCCCAUUAAAUUUUGGAGCAUUAGAUUUGCACCAAUUUUUACAGAAUCCAAUCUUUUACUUGCGCCAAAAACUACUUUUGCCUAUUUUACAGGUAAUAUAUAAUGGAAAAGUUUAAGAUAUUGAUUGUUACAUCGUGAAUAAGAUGAUUUUGUUUAAGUAUUCCCCCUGGGUAACUAAUUUUAAAAAGUUCAUACUUAUUGUUUAAUAUAAAACUGUGAGUCACUUAGGUUAAAAUUAUAUAGAGUUCACAUGUUUGAGGUGUGAAGAUGGAUAUUGUCAAUUAUAUAGUUUUCUCAGAAUUCAUGUUGAGGCUGUUUAUAGCUGACUAUACGGAACAGGUUUUUGAAGGCAUUCUGUUGUCUUUGCAGGCAAUGAUCAUGCCACAUCUCCUUAUUUCUAAAUAGAGGAAAUGAUAUUUAUGACCA